UACGGCCACAUCAUGUUGAAACACCGGUUCCCGUACGAUCACUGAAGUUAAGUAACGUCGUGUCCUGGUCAGUAUCUAGAUGGGUGACUACUUGAGAAUAUCAGGUGCUGUAAG